GGCCUGUGGGAGUACCAUUGAUCCCGCCCUCAUCUGAGGUGACGGGAAAGGGCCGGGAAAUUUCCACUUCUGAAUAAAAUGACUGCUGAAGUGAUGACCCGCAAGAAUUGGUCAAAUUUGGAGUAGACUUCACCCUGCGCUUGGUGAAACUUCUACGUCAAGGAUGCAAGAGGCGCCGAAGUAACGCAGCUCCCACCUGUCGCUCUCCGCUGGGCGCCGAGACUAUGGCCGGAGAAUAGCUGCACCGGGAUUGGAGAAAGGAAGCCAUCAGUCUUAGGAAGGCUCCACCUUCCUGCCAUUGCCUGGUUGGAGGAGCGUAGCGUCAGUCACUAGAGCAGUCACCACCUCUGGGACAGGUGUGAUUUUAAUGGGCUCACCUGAAUGCUGCUGAGCGCUGCCACCCCCAUAUACAGGAAGAUGCCAUAGAGCACAGGCAUUGGAAUGAACUGGUAGAAAGAAGCAGAGAGUUAUCAAAGUUUACCUCUGCCAACCUCCCAGAUGCCCCAGGAUGCCCAGAUGCCCUAGAUCCCUCUAGCAUCUAGCAUCCAGGUCUGCCCAGGCCUUGCCUUUCCU
rnacentral:lncRNA from 1 species